AUUCUAGCCCUGUUGGACAGCCGAACCCAUCACAACAAAUCAAUGCCAAAAAUGGCAUUUCAAGAGGAAAACAUAGCAUUUAUUUAGUACCCCCAACAGAGUAGCUCAAAGUGAUUUGAAAAUGUCUCAUUAAUCCUCAUAACACCCCUGUGGGAUAAUAAUAAUAUUAUUAUAACGUUUAGGCGUAGAACUGUGGCAAAGCCAACAGCUUCUCUGAGCAUGUGCAGGAUUUCCUCAUAUUUCAGUCUGCAAUACUAGAGCCUGACUAAAACCGUCAGGUUUGCAAACAGCAAGGGUAAAUAAAUCUUGGUGUUUGGCCUUUCUGUGUUGCUCUAGGCAUAGUUUGUGUUUCCUACUGACCACAUCAAUCCCAGAAAUAGUUCACCAGUUGUUUGCCAGAUGGUAAGCAGCAUUUAGGAUUAGCUCAGAAGUGUUUGAGAGUGGGACAAGGCAGGGCUAGAGGUCCUGAUCCACAAUUACAGAUAAAUGAAUGGAGAAAUAGCACCUAGUAACAGUGUAAAAGCGUUCCUAUUUCUCCACAUCCGAACCCAUCACAACAAAUCAAUGCCAAAAAUGGCAUUUCAAGAGGAAAACAUAGCAUUUAUUUAGUACCCCCAACAGAGUAGCUCAAAGUGAUUUGAAAAUGUCUCAUUAAUCCUCAUAACACCCCUGUGGGAUAAUAAUAAUAUUAUUAUAACGUUUAGGCGUAGAACUGUGGCAAAGCCAACAGCUUCUCUGAGCAUGUGCAGGAUUUCCUCAUAUUUCAGUCUGCAAUACUAGAGCCUGACUAAAAC
rnacentral:lncRNA from 1 species